rnacentral:rRNA from 1 species
GACGGGGGGAGCAAGCGUUGUUCGGAUUUACUGGGCGUAAAGGGCGUCUAGGCGGACUAGCAAGUCAGGUGUGAAAUCUCACGGCUCAACCGUGGAACUGCACUUGAAACUGUUGGUCUUGAGUACGGAAUAGGAAAGCGGAAUUCCUGGUGUAGCGGUGAAAUGCGUAGAUAUCAGGAAGAACACCGGUGGCGAAGGCGGCUUUCUGGUCCGAUACUGACGCUAAAGCGCGAAAGUGUGGGUAGCAGACAGGAUUAGAUACCCUGGUAGUCCACACUGUAAACGAUGGAUACUAGGUGUUGGGGAACCGACCUCCCCGGUGCCGAAGCUAACGCAUUAAGUAUCCCGCCUGGGGAGUACGGUCGCAAGGUUGAAACUCAAAGGAAUUGACGGGGACCCGCACAAGCGGUGGAGCAUGUUGCUCAAUUCGACGCAACGCGAAGAACCUUACCGGGGCUUGACGUGUACUGGAAGGGUGUAGAGAUACAUUCCGCUCUUCGGAGCCGGUACAUUAGGUGCUGCACGGCUGUCGUCAGCUCGUGUCGUGAGAUGUUGGGUUAAGUCCUCUAACGAGCGCAACCCUCGUUCACAGUUGCCAUCAGAUAAUGCUGGGAACUCUGCGGAGACUGCCGGUGACAAACCGGAGGAAGGUGGGGAUGACGUCAAGUCAUCGUGGCCCUUAUGUCCCGGGCUGCAAACGUGCUACAAUGGCCGGUACAAAGGGAAGCAACACCGUGAGGUUGAGCAAAUCCCAAAAAACCGGUCUCAGUUCGGAUUGCAGUCUGCAACUCGACUGCAUGAAGUCGGAAUCGCUAGUAAUCGUGGAUCAGCAUGCCAUGGUGAAUACGUUCCCGGGUCU